rnacentral:rRNA from 1 species
GAUGAACGCUGGCGGCGUGCCUAAUACAUGCAAGUCGAGCGAACGGACGAGAAGCUUGCUUCUCUGAUGUUAGAGGCGGGCGGAAGAGUACCACGUGGAUCCCCUCCUUAUAAGACUGGGAUAAAUUCGGGAACCAGGACCUCAUACCGUCUAAGAUUUUGAACGGCGUUGUUUCAGAGUGCGCGACGAUCUUGCUGUCACUUGUAGAUGGGGCCGUGCUUCAUUAGCUAGUUGGUAAGGUAACGGCUUACCAAGUCGACGACGCGUAGCCGACCUGAGAGGGUGAUCGGCCACACUGGAACUGAGACACGGCCCAGACUCCUACGGGAGGCAGCAGUGGGGAAUUUUGGACAAUGGGCGAAAGCCUGACCCAGCCACGCCGCGUGAAGGAUGAAGGCCUUUGGGUCGUAAAAUGCUGUUGUACGGAACGAACAGACGUGUACUUAUAUAGGGAGAUCAUGACGGUACCGUAAGAAUAAGCACCGGCUAACUACGUG